rnacentral:tRNA from 1 species
GCGGGCUCCAACCCGCUG